GGAGGGAAUAUAUUUACUAUACUUAAGACAGACUAUGACAGAUAUGUCAUGUUUCAUCUCGUUAAUGUCAACAAUGGGGAAGCCUUCCAGCUGAUGGAGCUCUAUGGAAGAACAAAGGAUCUGAGUUCAGACAUCAAGGAAAAGUUUGCAAAACUAUGUGAGGCGCAUGGAAUCACUAGGGACAAUAUCAUUGACCUAACCAAGACUGAUCGCUGUCUCCAGGCCCGAGGAUGAAGACAGGCCUGAGCCUCCAGGUGGGCAAUCUCCAGUGAGAGCAAGGGGUGGGUGGGCAUGGACCAGGCCCUUCCAAAAGCAUUAGUAUGGUGCCCCCAAAUUAUUAUAAGAAUAA